rnacentral:rRNA from 1 species
AUAUUGGACAAUGGACGCAAGUCUGAUCCAGCCAUGCCGCGUGAAGGAUGAAUGCCCUCUGGGUUGUAAACUUCUUUUAUAGGGGAAGAAAGAUACUUUUUUUAAGGUAGUUGACGGUACCCUAUGAAUAAGCACCGGCUAACUCCGUGCCAGCAGCCGCGGUAAUACGGAGGGUGCAAGCGUUAUCCGGAUUUACUGGGUUUAAAGGGUGCGUAGGCGGGCAUGUAAGUCAGUGGUGAAAUACCGGAGCUUAACUUCGGAACUGCCAUUGAUACUAUAUGUCUUGAAUAUUGUGGAGGUAAGCGGAAUAUGUCAUGUAGCGGUGAAAUGCAUAGAUAUGACAUAGAACACCGAUUGCGGAGGCAGCUUGCUACGCAAAUAUUGACGCUGAGGCACGAAAGCGUGGGGAUCAAACA